rnacentral:rRNA from 1 species
UACGUAGGGUGCGAGCGUUAAUCGGAAUUACUGGGCGUAAAGCGCGCGCGGGCGGCUUUUUGAGUUAGUUGUGAAAUCUCCGGGCUUAACCGUGGACGUGCGGGUGGUACGGGAAGGCUGGAGUGCUGCAGGGGGAGGUGGAAUUCCUCGUGUAGCAGUGGAAUGCGUAGAGAUGAGGAGGAACACCGAUGGCGAAGGCAGGUCUCUGGGAAAUCACUGACGCUGAUGCGCGAAAGCGUGGGGAGCGAACAGG